rnacentral:rRNA from 1 species
AUGCACCCGAAGAGUAAAGGUGGCUUGGGGUUUAGAGACCUUCAUAGUUUUAAUCUUGCUUUACUAGCAAAAUAGUGUUGACGCUUACUCCAAAAUCUUGAAUCUUUGUGUGCAGAAGUACUAAGUGCAAAAUACUAUCCGGAUGGAAAUAUUCUCGUGGCUGGCCCUAGGAAAGGUUCUUUGUUUACUUGGCAAAGUAUUGUUUCGGGCAUACAAACUUUUAAGAGAGGGUGUAUUUGGCAUGUGGGUACGGGCUCACAGAUCAACAUCUGGCAUGUCCUUGGGUUCCUUCUAGUGAAUCAAGGAAGAUUUUAA